UUGAGGCAUUGAUAUGCACACAAAAUUAGCUUCGUGCUUCUCCAAUGACAACUGACUUUGAGGAGCUUAUUGAAGAGUUUGAGAAACUUGAAUUAGAAAUUGCACCAACCGGAGAAGAUGAGGAUGAGUCUGGUGUGGAUUUAGAUUAAGCAUU